UCCCUGGUGGUCUAGUGGUUAGGACUCAGUGCUUUCACUGCUGUGGCCCAGGUUUGAUCCCUGGUCUGGAAA
rnacentral:tRNA from 1 species